CCUACGGGAGUCUGCAGUGAGGAAUAUUGGUCAAUGGGCGCGAGCCUGAAGCAGCCAAGUCGCGUGAGGGAGGACGGCCCUACGGGUUGUAAACCUCUUUUGCCGGGGAGCAACGGGCGCCACGUGUGGCUCCACUCAGAGUACUCGCAGACAAAGCAUCGGCUAACUCCGUGCCAGCAGCCGCGGUAAGACGGAGGGUGCGAGCGUUAUUCGGAUUUAGUGGGUUAAAGGGGUGCGUAGGCGGAUCGUUAAGUCAGUGGUCAAAUUGCGGGGCUCAAUCCCUUCCCGCCAUUGAAACUGGCGUUCUUGAGUGGAAGAGAGGUAUGCGGAAUGCGUGGUGUAGCGGUGAAAUGCAUAGAUAUCACGCAGAACCCCGAUUGCGAAGGCAGCAUGCCGGCUUCCGACUGACGCUGAAGCACGAAAGCGUGGGGAUCGAACAGGAUUAGAUACCCUUGUAGUC
rnacentral:rRNA from 1 species